rnacentral:rRNA from 1 species
AACGAACGCUGGCGGCAUGCCUAACACAUGCAAGUCGAACGAGACCUUCGGGUCUAGUGGCGCACGGGUGCGUAACGCGUGGGAACCUGCCCUUAGGUUCGGAAUAACUCCCCGAAAGGGGUGCUAAUACCGGAUAAUGUCUUCGGACCAAAGAUUAUAGCCUUUGGAUGGGCCCGCGUUGGAUUAGCUAGUUGGUAGGGUAAAAGCCUACCAAGGCGACGAUCCAUAGCUGGUCUGAGAGGAUGAUCAGCCACACUGGGACUGAGACACGGCCCAGACUCCUACGGGAGGCAGCAGUGGGGAAUAUUGGACAAUGGGCGAAAGCCUGAUCCAGCAAUGCCGCGUGAGUGAUGAAGGCCUUAGGGUUGUAAAGCUCUUUUACCCGGGAUGAUAAUGACAGUACCGGGAGAAUAAGCUCCGGCUAACUCCGUG